rnacentral:rRNA from 1 species
GGGUUGUGAGGUUAAGCGACUAAGCGUACACGGUGGAUGCCCUGGCAGUCAGAGGCGAUGAAGGACGUGCUAAUCUGCGAUAAGCGUCGGUAAGGUGAUAUGAACCGUUAUAACCGGCGAUUUCCGAAUGGGGAAACCCAGUGUGAUUCGUCACACUAUCAUUAACUGAAUCCAUAGGUUAAUGAAGCGAACCGGGGGAACUGAAACAUCUAAGUACCCCGAGGAAAAGAAAUCAACCGAGAUUCCCCCAGUAGCGGCGAGCGAACGGGGAGCAGCCCAGAGCCUGAAUCAGUGUGUGUGUUAGUGGAAGCGUCUGGAAAGGCGCGCGAUACAGGGUGACAGCCCCGUACACAAAAAUGCACAUACUGUGAGCUCGAUGAGUAGGGCGGGACACGUGGUAUCCUGUCUGAAUAUGGGGGGACCAUCCUCCAAGGCUAAAUACUCCUGACUGACCGAUAGUGAACCAGUACCGUGAGGGAAAGGCGAAAAGAACCCCGGCGAGGGGAGUGAAAAAGAACCUGAAACCGUGUACGUACAAGCAGUGGGAGCCUUGAUUUAUCAGGGUGACUGCGUACCUUUUGUAUAAUGGGUCAGCGACUUAUAUUCUGUAGCAAGGUUAACCGAAUAGGGGAGCCGAAGGGAAACCGAGUCUUAACUGGGCGUUAAGUUGCAGGGUAUAGACCCGAAACCCGGUGAUCUAGCCAUGGGCAGGUUGAAGGUUGGGUAACACUAACUGGAGGACCGAACCGACUAAUGUUGAAAAAUUAGCGGAUGACUUGUGGCUGGGGGUGAAAGGCCAAUCAAACCGGGAGAUAGCUGGUUCUCCCCGAAAGCUAUUUAGGUAGCGCCUCGUGAAUUCAUCUCCGGGGGUAGAGCACUGUUUCGGCAAGGGGGUCAUCCCGACUUACCAACCCGAUGCAAACUGCGAAUACCGGAGAAUGUUAUCACGGGAGACACACGGCGGGUGCUAACGUCCGUCGUGAAGAGGGAAACAACCCAGACCGCCAGCUAAGGUCCCAAAGUCAUGGUUAAGUGGGAAACGAUGUGGGAAGGCCCAGACAGCCAGGAUGUUGGCUUAGAAGCAGCCAUCAUUUAAAGAAAGCGUAAUAGCUCACUGGUCGAGUCGGCCUGCGCGGAAGAUGUAACGGGGCUAAACCAUGCACCGAAGCUGCGGCAGCGACACUGUGUGUUGUUGGGUAGGGGAGCGUUCUGUAAGCCUGCGAAGGUGUACUGUGAGGUAUGCUGGAGGUAUCAGAAGUGCGAAUGCUGACAUAAGUAACGAUAAAGCGGGUGAAAAGCCCGCUCGCCGGAAGACCAAGGGUUCCUGUCCAACGUUAAUCGGGGCAGGGUGAGUCGACCCCUAAGGCGAGGCCGAAAGGCGUAGUCGAUGGGAAACAGGUUAAUAUUCCUGUACUUGGUGUUACUGCGAAGGGGGGACGGAGAAGGCUAUGUUGGCCGGGCGACGGUUGUCCCGGUUUAAGCGUGUAGGCUGAUUUUCCAGGCAAAUCCGGAAAAUCAAGGCUGAGGCGUGAUGACGAGGCACUACGGUGCUGAAGCAACAAAUGCCCUGCUUCCAGGAAAAGCCUCUAAGCAUCAGGUAACAUCAAAUCGUACCCCAAACCGACACAGGUGGUCAGGUAGAGAAUACCAAGGCGCUUGAGAGAACUCGGGUGAAGGAACUAGGCAAAAUGGUGCCGUAACUUCGGGAGAAGGCACGCUGAUAGGUAGGUGAAGCGACUUGCUCGUGGAGCUGAAAUCAGUCGAAGAUACCAGCUGGCUGCAACUGUUUAUUAAAAACACAGCACUGUGCAAACACGAAAGUGGACGUAUACGGUGUGACGCCUGCCCGGUGCCGGAAGGUUAAUUGAUGGGGUCAGCCGCAAGGCGAAGCUCUUGAUCGAAGCCCCGGUAAACGGCGGCCGUAACUAUAACGGUCCUAAGGUAGCGAAAUUCCUUGUCGGGUAAGUUCCGACCUGCACGAAUGGCGUAAUGAUGGCCAGGCUGUCUCCACCCGAGACUCAGUGAAAUUGAACUCGCUGUGAAGAUGCAGUGUACCCGCGGCAAGACGGAAAGACCCCGUGAACCUUUACUAUAGCUUGACACUGAACAUUGAGCCUUGAUGUGUAGGAUAGGUGGGAGGCUUUGAAGCGUGGACGCCAGUCUGCGUGGAGCCGACCUUGAAAUACCACCCUUUAAUGUUUGAUGUUCUAACGUGGACCCCUAAUCGGGGUUGCGGACAGUGUCUGGUGGGUAGUUUGACUGGGGCGGUCUCCUCCUAAAGAGUAACGGAGGAGCACGAAGGUUGGCUAAUCCUGGUCGGACAUCAGGAGGUUAGUGCAAUGGCAUAAGCCAGCUUGACUGCGAGCGUGACGGCGCGAGCAGGUGCGAAAGCAGGUCAUAGUGAUCCGGUGGUUCUGAAUGGAAGGGCCAUCGCUCAACGGAUAAAAGGUACUCCGGGGAUAACAGGCUGAUACCGCCCAAGAGUUCAUAUCGACGGCGGUGUUUGGCACCUCGAUGUCGGCUCAUCACAUCCUGGGGCUGAAGUAGGUCCCAAGGGUAUGGCUGUUCGCCAUUUAAAGUGGUACGCGAGCUGGGUUUAGAACGUCGUGAGACAGUUCGGUCCCUAUCUGCCGUGGGCGCUGGAGAACUGAGGGGGGCUGCUCCUAGUACGAGAGGACCGGAGUGGACGCAUCACUGGUGUUCGGGUUGUCAUGCCAAUGGCACUGCCCGGUAGCUAAAUGCGGAAGAGAUAAGUGCUGAAAGCAUCUAAGCACGAAACUUGCCCCGAGAUGAGUUCUCCCUGACUCCUUGAGAGUCCUGAAGGAACGUUGAAGACGACGACGUUGAUAGGCCGGGUGUGUAAGCGCAGCGAUGCGUUGAGCUAACCGGUACUAAUGAACCGUGAGGCUUAACCUUACAACGCCGAAGCUGUU